AUGCCUGUGUAUUGUAGUGACUGGCUUCAUCCUCUUGGGAUAAAUGGCUGUGCUAUAACCAGUGAAAAACAUGUGCUUGUCCCCCCUUCUUUUUGUCCCAUACAAGGGAAUAAAUACAGGUUUCAGAGUCUAUCUUUUUGGGGAGAAGGCGGGAUGCUAAGAACUACCAAGCGCAGACUGACCACUGAACUUGGCUCAGUCAGUCCCAUGAGGAGGAUCUCACUUCAUUCUCAAGAGACCCCCAGGAAGAAGACAUUAUAUCUCCCUCCCCAAGGGUUUUCUGAUGAAGAAAUCAAAAUGUGGAGAGGUUUUCGCAGUCUCCGAGGUGACUGCCUCACUUCAGAGCAGCACUCCACGACAUCACUAUAGCAGCACUUGCAACCACAAGCAAAUGCCAGCUGCUGCCAGCAACCCCCACACUGUUGGAGCCAGAAGUUGGAAGAUUUGUGCUUCCUCCUGCCAUCUGGUUUCCUCGUGAUGUUUUCUAUUGGUGGGACACAUAAUAAUCUGGCCGGUAAGAGAACUUAAGAAAUGUAGUUUGCAGACUUCCAACUCAAACCAAGUACAGAAGGGCAGAUGUGGAGCUGAGAGAUGACAAUGAUGGAUGAUGGAACAUAUGCACCCAUAAUAUUUGUCUUUAGAGAACUAAUGCUCACCUUUAAAAGGCUGGUAUUCUCCUUUGGAUGGUAACACAAAUACACACUAACCAUAUCACCUUCACUGCAAGAGAAUGGAGGAGGUGACUGGUGCUAACAACUCUACCACUAGGAUUCCUGGACAAGAGAUGAUGAUUUCACCCUUUUCAGGGCUAACGGCAUCAAUCUGUAGGCAUGGACUCUGCCUAGUUUACACUUGUCUUUGAGGUUAGAGAAAGAGAUGAGGAUGGAGGUCUCAAGGCCCCGCCAAGGGGAAUAUUUUUCAGCAUUAGCAGGCAGUGGACUCUCGGCCAAGACAGAAGAAUCAUUUUUAAGCCCAUGAUAUGCCAUUUUUUAAGAUUUUUGAAACAUACUGCCACAUUAUCCUCUAGAAAGACACUACCAAUUUGUACUCUCAUCAGCAGUGUUUGAGAGCAUGAACAUAAUCUUCAAUAAUCAGUGGGGAUGGGAUGGAAAACUGAUUGGUUUGGAAAAGUCAGGAAAACCUAUUGGAAUGUAGAGGUGGCAGAGGGGUAGGAAGAGGGCACUGGGAGAGACAAGGCAGGAAGAUGAAGCAGGGAGAGGGGUAGGUUGUCCUCUGGAAUAGAGUCAUGUCACCUGCCUCUUGACCCAACAUCCAUGUGACAAUGUGGUUUGGAGAGUACAGAGUCUUAACAGAGAGCUUUGUAAGCAGUGGGAAGGUGAGGACUGUUGAAGAAAGCCUCUGACAGUAUCUGUUGGAACAGAGUUGUCUUGACAACUGAGAAUUAAAGCUGUUCUACUCAGCUCCCCAUCCAUUCAUCCAAAGACUUCCUGAUGGUGCAAAUCAGACUGUGUGUCUGUCCUUGAACACAGCUUUCUUUGGGUUUUUUCUCCUUGUUCCCGUUUCAAUUUCUAAUAAAAAGGAUGUGGCAAUUUCCUCAUAAAAAUGUGUUUAAAUCUUUUUCAUUUCCUGACCAGAUUUUUUGCACGGUGCUGGCCCUUGUCAAGAUAUCAACUUUUAGUCUAGUUAUGUUCCUGUAUGUGUGUGUGUGUGUGUGUGUGUGUGUGUGUGUGGCUUUGUCAUGUCACAA
rnacentral:lncRNA from 1 species